rnacentral:rRNA from 1 species
AACGAACGCUGGCGGCAUGCCUAACACAUGCAAGUCGAACGAGACCUUCGGGUCUAGUGGCGCACGGGUGCGUAACGCGUGGGAACCUGCCCUUAGGUUCGGAAUAACUCCCCGAAAGGGGUGCUAAUACCGGAUAAUGUCUUCGGACCAAAGAUUUAUCGCCUUUGGAUGGGCCCGCGUUGGUUUAGCUAGUUGGUAGGGUAAAAGCCUACCAAGGCGACGAUCCAUAGCUGGUCUGAGAGGAUGAUCAGCCACACUGGGACUGAGACACGGCCCAGACUCCUGCGGGAGGCAGCAGUGGGGAAUAUUGGACAAUGGGCGAAAGCCUGAUCCAGCAAUGCCGCGUGAGUGAUGAAGGCCUUAGGGUUGUAAAGCUCUUUUACCCGGGAUGAUAAUGACAGUACCGGGAGAAUAAGCUCCGGCUAACUCCGU